rnacentral:misc_RNA from 1 species
GACGUAGGAUGCAAGCGUUGUUCGGAUUUAUUGGGCGUAAAGCGUACGUAGGCGGUUUCACAAGUCUGGUGUGAAAGCUAGGGGCUCAACCCCUGUGAUGCACUGGAAACUGUGAGGCUUGAGUGCGGUAGGGGAAGGUGGAAUUCCGAGUGUAGCGGUGAAAUGCGUAGAUAUUCGGAAGAACACCGGUGGCGAAGGCGACCUUCUGGGCCGUUACUGACGCUGAGGUACGAAAGCGUGGGGAGCAAACAGG